rnacentral:rRNA from 1 species
UACGAAGGGUGCAAACGUUGCUCGGAAUCAUUGGGCGUAAAGCGCACGUAGGCGGCCUUGCAAGUCGGGGGUGAAAUCCCGAGGCUCAACCUCGGAACUGCCUUCGAUACUGCGGGUCUCGAGUCCGGGAGAGGUGAGUGGAAUUCCUAGUGCAGAGGUGAAAUUCGUAGAUAUUAGGAAGAACACCAGUGGCGAAGGCGGCUCACUGGCCCGGUACUGACGCUGAGGCGCGAAAGCGUGGGGAGCAAACAGG